AACGAACGCUGGCGGCAGGCCUAACACAUGCAAGUCGAACGCCGUAGCAAUACGGAGUGGCAGACGGGUGAGUAACGCGUGGGAACCUUCCCUGUGGUUCGGAAUAGCUCAGGGAAACCUGGGGUAAUACCGGAUAAGCCCUUCGGGGGAAAGAUUUAUCGCCAUUGGAUGGGCCCGCGUAGGAUUAGCUAGUUGGUGAGGUAACGGCUCACCAAGGCGACGAUCCUUAGCUGGUCUGAGAGGAUGAUCAGCCACACUGGGACUGAGACACGGCCCAGACUCCUACGGGAGGCAGCAGUGGGGAAUAUUGGACAAUGGGCGAAAGCCUGAUCCAGCCAUGCCGCGUGAGUGACGAAGGCCUUAGGGUUGUAAAGCUCUUUUGGCGGGGAAGAUAAUGACGGUACCCGCAGAAUAAGCUCCGGCUAACUUCGUGCCAGCCGCCGCCGUAAAAC
rnacentral:rRNA from 1 species